UACGGGGGGGGGCAAGCGUUGUUCGGGAAUUACUGGGCGUAAAGGGUGCGUUAGGGCGGCUUUCUAAGUCGGAUGUGAAAACUCUGGGCUCAACCCAGAGCCUGCAUCCGAAACUGGAGAGCUAGGGUUCUGGAGGGGAAAGCGGAAUUCCUGGUGUAGCGGUGAAAGUACGUAGAUAUCAGGAGGAACACCGGUGGCGA
rnacentral:rRNA from 1 species